GGGAGCUGGAGGCCAGCGGUGGCCUCGUGGACGAGAUAGAAUUAGAACCUAGGAUGUGAACGGAAGUCAUCUGUGGCACCCGGGCCCUGUUAUGUAAGCGCUACCACCGUAGGGUUUCCUGUGGAGACCCCACCCAAAGAAAGCUCAUCAGUAACUUUCUGCCUGCCUCCCUCGCGUUAAAACCCUUGCUUUCCAGAGCUCAUUUGAGUAGGAACAGAAGACAGUGUCGCUUCCGCCAUUAUCUGCACCUCUCAAUGUGUUGAAAUUGCUUUUGGUCCCAGCCCCAGGUUGCAUUUCAAACAUUUAAACAGAGACCGGAGACUGCAAGUCUGGUCACCUGAGCAGGUGGGAAGACUCACACAGCAAAAAUAUUGCCAAAAUUAUUGAAGCAUGCCAGUAUUGUACUUUUCAGAUGAUGUCCUGUCCUUCUGGCAGAAUUAUGCUUUUCUCAAGAAAAGAACUUAUAGCUACUAUCUGUUGUGACCCUGUGCUGCCCCCUGCACCUGCCUGUUAAAGGUAUGUUCUUUGGGGAUGGGACUAAGGGCUGACCCAGACAGUCCUGAACAAACAUUUACAUCCAAGCAUUACGUGGAUUUGCAUGUAUCUAGCAGGCUUGAGUAACAUACUUGGGGCAUUUCAGGGAGGGGGGCAGCAGCACUUCCUUAGCUAAAUUCACUUUGUGUAAUGUAAUGUCACAUCAAGUCUGUUACUUUUCUUCUAUGGCAGUGUAAUGGUACAUUCACUUCUAGGUCUCUGCGGUUGUGAUGCUCAGGAAGAGAAUGUUGACUGUAUGCAAACUGAGUUAGAAAGAAACAAUAUUAACAGAUUUUAUUUUAAAACUGAAUUUAAUGUUUUAGAAUAGCAACUAAAAGCAAAUGGAGUACAUAAAUUUCAAGCACUGGGUAAAAUUUCAACAAAAGCAUCAUUACAAAGAGAAGGUACAUGCAACAAAUACAGAAAAAAACAAGUUGCUAAAAAUCCAAUUUGUUACUAAUUGCAUUAUACAUGAUGGUCUAAAAAGAAUUGUUAAUCUGGAUUUUUCAAGUAUUCAGAUUUUUAAAACUUCAACUAAAGUAUGUAUAAAAGACAUCUACAACUGGGAUACAAGCCAGUGGUUAGCAUGUGUAAAGCCCUAAGUUUGAUCUUAGCACCCCCCAAAUUUUCUUAACUAAAGAUACAAAAAGAAAGCUUAUAUAUAUAGACAUGUAAAUACCUACCAGAGUCAAUGGAAUAAAAACUAUAUCAGAAAGUUUUAAUAUUUCAAGACAAUUUUGCCCUCCCAAAUUAUUUAUCAGGCCCCCAACUCCACCUCUGGGUGCAUUUGGUUUGGUUUUGUUUUUCUGUUUUAAUUCGGUUUUUGUAUUUUUAAAACAGUGUUUCACAAAGUAGCCUAGGCUCAGGUUACCCUUAAAUCUGUGAUCCUCCUGCCUUGGCUUCCAAUCUCUAAGAUUACAGUGUGUGGCAACACACUCUGCUUUUGAGACAGAUACACUCCAAAAGAAUACUGGAUACUUUCAAGGUUAACUCAAUGUAAAUACAAGAAAUCGCUGUAGAAUGAAGAUAGACUCAAAGUAAAGUUAGUUAUAUAACCAGGAAAUAUUAGGAAUACAAGAAAAAAUAAAUUUUUGUUUCAUAUGUCAAAAUGAAAGCAUAUCUAAGAAAAAUAUACUCAAAAAAUUUUAAAUAAUAUUGUAAAUAUUAGGUGUCCUAUAAACAUAAGAUUCCAAACAAUUGAAGAAGAUAGAAUACAGGUACCCAAAAGUAUCGAUUAUUCUAGCUCAGGAUAACGACAAAUUAGGAAUUUAGAAAAGUGAAGAACACACUCACUGUAGUAUACGACACUGUUCUGAUCUACAGCUAAAAACCAGUCAGUUCAUUUUAAAAUUUGUUUUGGUGGUGCUGAGGACUGAGGGUCUUGCACACUGUGCUCUACCUGUUCCCUACUCCAUUUCUUCUUGCACAAGGAGAACUUCUACACAAUGUUACUCAAGGAUAUCGAUGAUAAUCUUUAUGUGAAAAAAUGGCUUAAAUUGUAGCUCAGUAGCAGAGUGCUUGCCUAGUCCUGGGUUUGAGUCCCCAGCAAUCAAACAAAACAAAAAUGAUCCUUAAUGUCCAAGUUGAAUAUAUCUAGGAAUUUAAGGUUAAUAUAAAACAACUAAUAUAUCAUCGCUAUUAGUAAAUGACUGCCUUUAUUUUAGAGGCCUUCUACUCAUUCCAGGAUUUAUUAGGCAUUAUGAACCAAGGAAAUCCUAGGUACUUUAGCAAAUGAGUAUGGUCAUCACAGAGGACACGGGGAAAGCAAUUCAUGAAUCCAAGAGGAAUUUUACUUCACAAAUAAAGAAAUACUAUAAAAUCAUUAUGCAAAAUUAAGAUAUUAAAAACACCCUUCUAUCUAAUAAGAAAAUCAGUAUGAUGGAGAGCAUAUAUCAUUAUAAUUCUAAAGGAAAAUAUGCUUUUACUACUUUCACUAGUGUCCUGGACAUCAUACUCAUUUCUGUAAAGAAACAACUAAAAUAGAAAAAAAAUACCAUUAUUAUCUACAGAUAUGACUACCUAUCUGGUAAAUCAAAAGAAUCUAUGUGUACUGAUGACCCUCUCAAAUUCUGGUUAAAUAUAAACCGCACAUGAUUGUCCAGGUAGGGUCUUUAGAAUUUCAUUUGAUAGUCGAGAAUAAUAAGUGGAAACCUCACCCAACAAGGCUGCAAUCUUGUCAGAAGAGGAAAAAAGCCUCAUUUCAGGCUUUGUCAUGUGUAAGUGACCGCAUGCUAGGACGAGUCUGCACCAGAGUCAAGCAUGUUAUUUUUUUAAUGUGUGUGUAUGUGCAUGCUGGUGUGUUUACACAUUAGCAUGUGGCAUGUGAAAGCCAAAAAAUACUAUCAGGUGUCCCCAAUCACUUCCCAUUUUAUUUAUUGAAGCAGGGUCUCUUGCUGCACUGAAGCUCAUGGAUUCAAGUAACCUAGUUACCUAAAUCACCUGAGGAUUCCCAUCUUGUUUCCAAGCAUUGGAAUUACAGGAUCCAAAUUCUGGUCCUCGUGUUUGCAUGGCAAGAGCUUCUCCCUCUGAACCAUUGCACUAGCUCCCAUGCUCUUUUCUUGUCUGAGAAAAUAAUUUGCUGUACAUUAUCUUUCCAGGGCUGGAGAUAAAAACUAGUUUUGCAUAUGCUAGGCAAGGACUAUUACCACUGAGCUAAAUCCACAGUCCUAAAGUUUUAUCCGAAAGUAGUGAGCUAAUGAGAACAUACAGUAAUACAUAGAUAUAUGGAAAUGUCAUACGGAACCCAAUACUAUGGUAACCUAAAAUUUUGUUUCCUUUAAAGUGAAUUUGAAAAGACCGUGGUUUCUUUUGUUCUGUGUAAUGUUAUGGCACACAUCAAGUGGUGUGAAAGCUGUGGCAUGCACGUACAAGUACAGGAUAACUUGUAGCAGUUUUCUCUCCUUUCACAAGAUAGGGUCCUGGGAUUGAACUCAGUUCCUGAUUUCAUUUAAACCAGGUAAAACACAUUUACCUUCUGAGCCAUUUUGCCAGUGCUGGCUAUGGUGCCUUAUGGUACUGAGGCAUUGCAGUAAAACGUACUUAAACAGAUACAAGUAGCUUAAAAACUGAGCGAUAGGUACGGGCUAUUCUGGGGAGGACUCCCUUAGGAAGGAGGACCAUGUUACUGGAA